GUCUCCGUAGCUCAACUGGAUAGAGCAGCGCUUUCCUAAAGCGCCUAUCCCGGUUCAAGUCCGGGCGGGGGCACCA
rnacentral:tRNA from 1 species